UAAGUUAGAAAGGGCGCACGGUGGAUGCCUUGACACUAGGAGUCGAUGAAGGACGGGACUAACGCCGAUAUGCUUCGGGGAGCUGUAAGUAAGCUUUGAUCCGAAGAUUUCCGAAUGGGGAAACCCACCAUACGUAAUGGUAUGGUAUCCUUAUCUGAAUACAUAGGGUAAGGAAGACAGACCCAGGGAACUGAAACAUCUAAGUACCUGGAGGAAGAGAAAGCAAAUGCGAUUUCCUGAGUAGCGGCGAGCGAAACGGAACAUAGCCCAAACCAAGAGGCUUGCCUCUUGGGGUUGUAGGACAUUCUAUACGGAGUUACAAAGGAACGAGGUAGACGAAGCGACCUGGAAAGGUCCGUCGUAGAGGGUAACAACCCCGUAGUCGAAACUUCGUUCUCUCUUGAAUGUAUCCUGAGUACGGCGGAACACGUGAAAUUCCGUCGGAAUCUGGGAGGACCAUCUCCCAAGGCUAAAUACUCCCUAGUGAUCGAUAGUGAACCAGUACCGUGAGGGAAAGGUGAAAAGCACCCCGGAAGGGGAGUGAAAGAGAUCCUGAAACCGUGUGCCUACAAAUAGUCAGAGCCCGUUAACGGGUGAUGGCGUGCCUUUUGUAGAAUGAACCGGCGAGUUACGAUCCCGUGCGAGGUUAAGCUGAAGAGGCGGAGCCGCAGCGAAAGCGAGUCUGAAUAGGGCGUUUAGUACGUGGUCGUAGACCCGAAACCAGGUGAUCUACCCAUGUCCAGGGUGAAGUUCAGGUAACACUGAAUGGAGGCCCGAACCCACGCACGUUGAAAAGUGCGGGGAUGAGGUGUGGGUAGCGGAGAAAUUCCAAUCGAACCUGGAGAUAGCUGGUUCUCCCCGAAAUAGCUUUAGGGCUAGCCUUAAGUGUAAGAGUCUUGGAGGUAGAGCACUGAUUGGACUAGGGGUCCUCAUCGGAUUACCGAAUUCAGUCAAACUCCGAAUGCCAAUGACUUAUCCUUAGGAGUCAGACUGCGAGUGAUAAGAUCCGUAGUCAAAAGGGAAACAGCCCAGACCGCCAGCUAAGGUCCCAAAGUGUGUAUUAAGUGGAAAAGGAUGUGGAGUUGCUUAGACAACUAGGAUGUUGGCUUAGAAGCAGCCACCAUUUAAAGAGUGCGUAAUAGCUCACUAGUCGAGUGACUCUGCGCCGAAAAUGUACCGGGGCUAAAUACACCACCGAAGCUGCGGAUUGAUACCAAUGGUAUCAGUGGUAGGGGAGCGUUCUAAGGACAGUGAAGUCAGACCGGAAGGACUGGUGGAGUGCUUAGAAGUGAGAAUGCCGGUAUGAGUAGCGAAAGACGGGUGAGAAUCCCGUCCACCGAAUGCCUAAGGUUUCCUGAGGAAGGCUCGUCCGCUCAGGGUUAGUCAGGACCUAAGCCGAGGCCGACAGGCGUAGGCGAUGGACAACAGGUUGAUAUUCCUGUACCACCUCUUUAUCGUUUGAGCAAUGGAGGGACGCAGAAGGAUAGAAGAAGCGUGCGAUUGGUUGUGCACGUCCAAGCAGUUAGGCUGAUAAGUAGGCAAAUCCGCUUAUCGUAAAGGCUGAGCUGUGAUGGGGAAGCUCCUUAUGGAGCGAAGUCUUUGAUUCCCCGCUGCCAAGAAAAGCUUCUAGCGAGAUAAAAGGUGCCUGUACCGCAAACCGACACAGGUAGGCGAGGAGAGAAUCCUAAGGUGUGCGAGAGAACUCUGGUUAAGGAACUCGGCAAAAUGACCCCGUAACUUCGGGAGAAGGGGUGCUUUCUUAACGGAAAGCCGCAGUGAAUAGGCCCAAGCGACUGUUUAGCAAAAACACAGCUCUCUGCGAAGCCGUAAGGCGAAGUAUAGGGGGUGACACCUGCCCGGUGCUGGAAGGUUAAGGAGAGGGGUUAGCGUAAGCGAAGCUCUGAACUGAAGCCCCAGUAAACGGCGGCCGUAACUAUAACGGUCCUAAGGUAGCGAAAUUCCUUGUCGGGUAAGUUCCGACCCGCACGAAAGGUGUAACGAUUUGGGCACUGUCUCAACCAGAGACUCGGUGAAAUUAUAGUACCUGUGAAGAUGCAGGUUACCCGCGACAGGACGGAAAGACCCCGUGGAGCUUUACUGUAGCCUGAUAUUGAAUUUUGGUACAGUUUGUACAGGAUAGGCGGGAGCCUUUGAAACCGGAGCGCUAGCUUCGGUGGAGGCGCUGGUGGGAUACCGCCCUGACUGUAUUGAAAUUCUAACCUACGGGUCUUAUCGACCCGGGAGACAGUGUCAGGUGGGCAGUUUGACUGGGGCGGUCGCCUCCUAAAGUGUAACGGAGGCGCCCAAAGGUUCCCUCAGAAUGGUUGGAAAUCAUUCGUAGAGUGCAAAGGCAUAAGGGAGCUUGACUGCGAGACCUACAAGUCGAGCAGGGACGAAAGUCGGGCUUAGUGAUCCGGUGGUUCCGCAUGGAAGGGCCAUCGCUCAACGGAUAAAAGCUACCCCGGGGAUAACAGGCUUAUCUCCCCCAAGAGUCCACAUCGACGGGGAGGUUUGGCACCUCGAUGUCGGCUCAUCGCAUCCUGGGGCUGUAGUCGGUCCCAAGGGUUGGGCUGUUCGCCCAUUAAAGCGGUACGCGAGCUGGGUUCAGAACGUCGUGAGACAGUUCGGUCCCUAUCCGUCGUGGGCGUAGGAAAUUUGAGAGGAGCUGUCCUUAGUACGAGAGGACCGGGAUGGACGCACCGCUGGUGUACCAGUUGUUCUGCCAAGGGCAUAGCUGGGUAGCUAUGUGCGGAAGGGAUAAGUGCUGAAAGCAUCUAAGCAUGAAGCCCCCCCUCAAGAUGAGAUUUCCCAUAGCGUAAGCUAGUAAGAUCCCUGAAAGAUGAUCAGGUUGAUAGGUUCGAGGUGGAAGCAUGGUGACAUGUGGAGCUGACGAAUACUAAUAGAUCGAGGACUUAACCA
rnacentral:rRNA from 1 species